ACCAAGGAUGACAACGUUUAUCAAGCAUAGGUCAUUGUGUGCCAUAUAGGUUGGUUGUCCUCUUAACCAAUGAGUGUGGAGACACUGGUAUGGCAUACAGGUGAGAUGUAAGGGUACAUCUGCACUGAACGUGACCAACUCCGGAGCUAUUUCUGCUGUCAAGAUUUGCUCCAAUGGAAUAUGGAUAUAAAUAUCCCUCCGACCUGAGACCGCCACAGUGACUUGCAAGCAACUCACUGCACUUAGGCACUGGACUACCUGAAUUUUUAAUUCAGUGACGGAAGGCUGCUGGGUGUAGUCAAGUACUUGACUUGUCGGUGCGUGUGUCAAGAUGGGAUUGACCACUUCAGUUUAGGAGCUGUGUA
rnacentral:lncRNA from 1 species